rnacentral:rRNA from 1 species
GAUGAACGCUGGCGGCGUGCCUAAUACAUGCAAGUCGAGCGAACGGACCAGAAGCUUGCUUCUCUGAUGUUAGCGGCGGACGGGUGAGUAACACGUGGAUAACCUACCUAUAAGACUGGGAUAACUUCGGGAAACCGGAGCUAAUGCCGGAUAAUAUUUUGAACCGCAUGGUUCAAAAGUGAAAGACGGUCUUGCUGUCACUUAUAGAUUGAUCCGCGCUGCAUUAGCUAGUUGGUAAGGUAACGGCUUACCAAGGCAACGAUGCAUAGCCGCCCUGAGAGGGUCGUUGCCUACACUGGAACUGAGGCACGGUCCAGACUCCUACGGGGGGAAGCAGUAGGGAAUCUUCCGCAAUGGGCGAAAGCCUGACGGAGCAACGCCGCGUGAGUGCUGAAGGUCUUCGGAUCGUAAAACUCUGUUAGUAGGGAAGAACAUAUGUGUAAGUAACUGUGCACAUCUUGACGGUACCGAAUCAGAAAGCCACGGCUAACUACGUG